GGGUUGUGAGGUUAAGCGACUAAGCGUACACGGUGGAUGCCCUGGCAGUCAGAGGCGAUGAAGGACGUGCUAAUCUGCGAUAAGCGUCGGUAAGGUGAUAUGAACCGUUAUAACCGGCGAUUUCCGAAUGGGGAAACCCAGUGUGUUUCGACACACUAUCAUUAACUGAAUCCAUAGGUUAAUGAGGCGAACCGGGGGAACUGAAACAUCUAAGUACCCCGAGGAAAAGAAAUCAACCGAGAUUCCCCCAGUAGCGGCGAGCGAACGGGGAGCAGCCCAGAGCCUGAAUCAGUGUGUGUGUUAGUGGAAGCGUCUGGAAAGGCGCGCGAUACAGGGUGACAGCCCCGUACACAAAAAUGCACAUAUUGUGAGCUCGAUGAGUAGGGCGGGACACGUGGUAUCCUGUCUGAAUAUGGGGGGACCAUCCUCCAAGGCUAAAUACUCCUGACUGACCGAUAGUGAACCAGUACCGUGAGGGAAAGGCGAAAAGAACCCCGGCGAGGGGAGUGAAAAAGAACCUGAAACCGUGUACGUACAAGCAGUGGGAGCCUCUUUUAUGGGGUGACUGCGUACCUUUUGUAUAAUGGGUCAGCGACUUAUAUUCUGUAGCAAGGUUAACCGAAUAGGGGAGCCGAAGGGAAACCGAGUCUUAACUGGGCGUUAAGUUGCAGGGUAUAGACCCGAAACC
rnacentral:rRNA from 1 species